UGGCCCCAUCGUCUAAUGGUCAGGACAUCACUCUUUCAAGGUGAAGAUACGGGUUCGAUUCCCGUUGGGGCUAU
rnacentral:tRNA from 1 species